AGGAGAGAGAGGGAUUCGAACCCUCGAUAGUUAUUUUUUAUGAACUAUACCGGUUUUCAAGACCGGAGCCAUCAACCACUCGGCCAUCUCUCCGAACGAUAAUUUCUAUUUUAUUUUUUUUUCGCUAAAUAGAACAUAGCCUAUGAGUUAAUACGAUCACUAUGUCGAGAAAGAUAUGGUGUGUGACUUUCUUUAUAGGUCGAUCAACCUGCCUAUAUAAAUAAAUGAGAUACACGAUCCAGUAUACCCAUUUGUGAAGUCAAAAAGAACCUUUAACUUAAUGUCCGAAUAGAAUAAUAGAAUAAAAGUGGUAAAACGAAGUUGGAAAUAAGUCAUCUCGAAUCAACGGAUUCAUGAGAAAAUGCCUUUAUUUAUUAAAAUUUUUUAGUGAGUAAGAGGAUUAAAUGGUGUAUAUUCUUUUGUUAAUAGCUUGGAGGAUUAAAAACAUGACUAUUGCUUUCCAAUUGGCUGUUUUUGCAUUAAUUAUUACUUCAUCAAUCUUAUUGAUUAGUGUACCCGUUGUAUUUGCGUCUCCUGAUGGUUGGUCGAGUAACAAAAAUGUUGUAUUUUCUGGUACAUCUUUAUGGAUUGGAUUAGUCUUCUUGGUGGGUAUCCUUAAUUCUCUUAUCUCUUGA
rnacentral:tRNA from 16 species